rnacentral:rRNA from 1 species
CGCAAUGGGCGCAAGUCUGACGGAGCGACGCCGCGUGAUUGAUGAAGUCUUUCGGGAUGUAAAGAUCUUUUAUGUAGGAGAAAGUUUUGAUAGUACUACAUGAAUAAGGGGUUGCUAAACUCGUGCCAGCAGCAGCGGUAAUACGAGUACCCCAAGCGUUAUCCGGAAUUAUUGGGCGUAAAGGGUGUGUAGGUUGUUAUGUUAGUCUUUUGUCAAAGCCUUCGGCUCAACCGGAGAAUUGCGGGAGAAACGGCAUAACUAGAGGGCGCGAGAGGUUUGCGGAACUCAUGGUGUAGGGGUGAAAUCCGUUGAUAUCAUGGGGAACACCGAAAGCGAAGGCAGCAAACUGGCGCGUUCCUGACUCUGAAACACGAAAGCGU